GUGGUUUAAUUCGAAGCAACGCGAAGAACCUUACCAGGUCUUGACAUCCCGAUGCUAUUUCUAGAGAUAGAAAGUUACUUCGGUACAUCGGUGACAGGUGGUGCAUGGUUGUCGUCAGCUCGUGUCGUGAGAUGUUGGGUUAAGUCCCGCAACGAGCGCAACCCCUAUUGUUAGUUGCCAUCAUUCAGUUGGGCACUCUAGCGAGACUGCCGGUAAUAAACCGGAGGAAGGUGGGGAUGACGUCAAAUCAUCAUGCCCCUUAUGACCUGGGCUACACACGUGCUACAAUGGUUGGUACAACGAGUUGCGAGUCGGUGACGGCGAGCUAAUCUCUUAAAGCCAAUCUCAGUUCGGAUUGUAGGCUGCAACUCGCCUACAUGAAGUCGGAAUCGCUAGUAAUCGCGGAUCAGCACGCCGCGGUGAAUAUGUCCCUGCUCCUU
rnacentral:rRNA from 1 species